rnacentral:rRNA from 1 species
GAUGAACGCUGACAGAAUGCUUAACACAUGCAAGUCCACUUGAACUUCGGUUUGGGUGGCGGACGGGUGAGUAACGCGUAAAGAACUUGCCUCACAGUUAGGGACAACAUUUGGAAACGAAUGCUAAUACCUGAUAUUAUGAUUUUAGGGCAUCCUAGAAUUAUGAAAGCUAUAUGCGCUGUGAGAGAGCUUUGCGUCCCAUUAGCUAGUUGGAGAGGUAACGGCUCACCAAGGCGAUGAUGGGUAGCCGGCCUGAGAGGGUGAACGGCCACAAGGGGACUGAGACACGGCCCUUACUCCUACGGGAGGCAGCAGUGGGGAAUAUUGGACAAUGGACCAAGAGUCUGAUCCAGCAAUUCUGUGUGCACGAUGAAGUUUUUCGGAAUGUAAAGUGCUUUCAGUUGGGAAGAAAAAAAUGACGAUACCAACAGAAGAAGUGACGGCUAAAUACGUG